AACGAACGCUGGCGGCAUGCCUAACACAUGCAAGUCGAACGAGACCUUCGGGUCUAGUGGCGCACGGGUGCGUAACGCGUGGGAACCUUCCCUUAGGUUCGGAAUAACUCCCCGAAAGGGGUGCUAAUACCGGAUAAUGUCUUCGGACCAAGGAUUUAUCGCCUUUGGAUGUGCCCGCGUUGGAUUAGCUAGUUGGUAGGGUAAAAGCCUACCAAGGCGACGCUGCAUAGCUGGUCUGAGAGGAUGAUCAGCCACACUGGGACUGAGACACGGCCCAGACUCUUACGGGAGGCAGCAGUGGGGAAUAGUGGACAAUGGGCGAAAGGCUGAUCCAGCAAUGACGCGUGAGUGAUGAAGGCAGUAGGGUUGUAAAGCUAUUUUAACCGGGAUGAUAAUGACAGUACCGGGAGAAUAAGCUCCGGCUAACUCCGUG
rnacentral:rRNA from 1 species